rnacentral:rRNA from 1 species
UAAGUUAAUAAGGGCGCACGGUGGAUGCCUUGGCACUAGAAGCCGAUGAAGGACGUGACUAACGACGAAAUGCUUUGGGGAGUUGUAAGUAAACAUUGAUCCAGAGAUGUCCGAAUGGGGGAACCCGGCAUGUAAUGCAUGUCACUCAUUACUGUUAAGGUAAUGUAGAGGAAGACGCAGUGAACUGAAACAUCUAAGUAGCUGCAGGAAGAGAAAGCAAACGCGAUUGCCUUAGUAGCGGCGAGCGAAAAGGUAAGAGGGCAAACCGAUGUGUUUACACAUCGGGGUUGUAGGACUGCGUUGUGGGACGACAAGAUUAUAGAAGAAUUACCUGGGAAGGUAAGCCAAAGAGAGUAACAGCCUCGUAUUCGAAAUAGUCUUUAACCCUAGCAGUAUCCUGAGUACGGCGAGACACGAGAAAUCUCGUCGGAAUCUGGGAGGACCAUCUCCUAACCCUAAAUACUCUCUAGUGACCGAUAGUGAACCAGUACCGUGAGGGAAAGGUGAAAAGCACCCCGGGAGGGGAGUGAAAUAGAACCUGAAACCGUGUGCCUACAACAAGUUCGAGCCCGUUAAUGGGUGAGAGCGUGCCUUUUGUAGAAUGAACCGGCGAGUUACGAUAUGAUGCGAGGUUAAGUUGAAGAGACGGAGCCGUAGGGAAACCGAGUCUUAAUAGGGCGACUUAGUAUCAUGUCGUAGACCCGAAACCAUGUGACCUACCCAUGAGCAGGGUGAAGGUGAGGUAAAACUCACUGGAGGCCCGAACCAGGGCACGUUGAAAAGUGCUUGGAUGACUUGUGGGUAGCGGAGAAAUUCCAAACGAACUUGGAGAUAGCUGGUUCUCUCCGAAAUAGCUUUAGGGCUAGCGUCGAUGUUAAGUCUCUUGGAGGUAGAGCACUGUUUGAUUGAGGGGUCCAUCCCGGAUUACCAAUAUCAGAUAAACUCCGAAUGCCAACGAGAUAUAAUCGGCAGUCAGACUGCGAGUGCUAAGAUCCGUAGUCGAAAGGGAAACAGCCCAGACCACCAGCUAAGGUCCCAAAAUAUAUGUUAAGUGGAAAAGGAUGUGGGGUUGCACAGACAACUAGGAUGUUAGCUUAGAAGCAGCUAUUCAUUCAAAGAGUGCGUAAUAGCUCACUAGUCGAGUGACCCUGCGCCGAAAAUGUACCGGGGCUAAAACAUAUUACCGAAGCUGUGGAUACCUUUUAGGUAUGGUAGGAGAGCGUUCUAUGUGUGAUGAAGGUGUACCGUGAGGAGCGCUGGAACGCAUAGAAGUGAGAAUGCCGGUAUGAGUAGCGAAAGACAGGUGAGAAUCCUGUCCACCGUAUGACUAAGGUUUCCAGGGGAAGGCUCGUCCUCCCUGGGUUAGUCGGGACCUAAGGAGAGACCGAAAGGUGUAUCCGAUGGACAACAGGUUGAUAUUCCUGUACUAGAGUAUAUAGUGAUGGAGGGACGCAGUAGGCUAACUAAAGCGUGCGAUUGGAAGUGCACGUCUAAGCAGUGAGGUGUGAUAUGAGUCAAAUGCUUAUAUCUAUAACAUUGAGCUGUGAUGGGGAGCGAAGUUAAGUAGCGAAGUUAGUGAUGUCACACUGCCAAGAAAAGCUUCUAGCGUUAAUUAUACUCUACCCGUACCGCAAACCGACACAGGUAGUCGAGGCGAGUAGCCUCAGGUGAGCGAGAGAACUCUCGUUAAGGAACUCGGCAAAAUGGCCCCGUAACUUCGGGAGAAGGGGCGCUGGCUUUAAGUCAGCCGCAGUGAAUAGGCCCAAGCAACUGUUUAUCAAAAACACAGCUCUCUGCUAAAUCGUAAGAUGAUGUAUAGGGGGUGACGCCUGCCCGGUGCUGGAAGGUUAAGAGGAGCGCUUAGCAUUAGCGAAGGUGUGAAUUGAAGCCCCAGUAAACGGCGGCCGUAACUAUAACGGUCCUAAGGUAGCGAAAUUCCUUGUCGGGUAAGUUCCGACCCGCACGAAAGGCGUAAUGAUUUGGGCACUGUCUCAACGAGAGACUCGGUGAAAUUUUAGUACCUGUGAAGAUGCAGGUUACCCGCGACAGGACGGAAAGACCCCAUGGAGCUUUACUGCAGUUUGAUAUUGAGUAUCUGUACCACAUGUACAGGAUAGGUAGGAGCCUAUGAAAUCGGGACGCUAGUUUCGGUGGAGGCGUUGUUGGGAUACUACCCUUGUGUUAUGGCUACUCUAACCCAGAUAGGUUAUCCCUAUCGGAGACAGUGUCUGACGGGCAGUUUGACUGGGGCGGUCGCCUCCUAAAAGGUAACGGAGGCGCCCAAAGGUU